rnacentral:lncRNA from 1 species
UCUGUUUGGUUGGGCGUUUCACCUCUUUGAGUUUAUUCCCGUUGAGCGGAGAUGGGAAGUGGAUGAAGCGAACUUGAGGCAGAUAGUUUCGAGUUUUAAGGAUCCUCGAGAUGCUUUGUGGCUUGCUCUUUUCCCUGAAGGCACAGAUUACACGUAAGUUACCGCGUAUCAUUCUUGUUUAAAAAACCCUUUUGGUUUAAAGCAUUUUCACCAUGCAGAGAGGCUAAAUGCGAAAGGAGCAAGAAGUUUGCAGCUGAACAUGGCUUACCAGUACUGAGCAACGUCCUGCUUCCAAGGACUAAAGGUUUCGUCUCUUGCUUGCAAGAACUGAGUUCCUCACUUGAUGCAGUUUAUGACGUCACCAUCGGUUAUAAAACCCGUUGUCCGUCUUUCUUAGACAAUGUCUACGGUAUUGAACCAUCAGAAGUUCACAUCCGAAUCCGUCGAAUCGACCAAAGCCAAAUCCCAAAUCAAGAAAAGGAGAUCAAUGAUUGGUUAAUGAACGCGUUCCAGCUCAAAGACCAGCUUCUCAGUGACUUCUACUCCAGUGGCCAUUUCCCUAACGAAGGAACAGAAAAAGAGUUCAACACACUGAAGCACCUCAUAAACUGCUUGGCAGUGAUUGUCUUCACGGUCAUCUGCGCGUAUCUCACCUUCUUUUCGUCGAUGGUCUGGUUCAAGAUCUAUGUCUCUUUGGUCUGUGCCUACUUGGCCUCCGCUACACAUUUCAAUCUUCGUUCUGUUCCACUUGUUGAGACUGCAAAAAAGGCCUUCAAAUGAUUAAACAAAUAAACUUUCAUUGUUUUCCAUUUUACAUGAUGGAGUAAUGUUUUUUUCUUUUACUGUUAGAUUUUGAGGUUAAGACUCAAUCCAAUUUCUACUUAUGAAAUGUGAGCACAAGCUGCAAGCAAAGUGUUAUACUUCAAUCAAAUCUCCUUCGGAAAAUGCACUUGUAACUUCACAAUGGCCGAGAUCACAGCGUUCCACGAGUAAACGUUUCUCUCAGGCAUUUCGUCG